AGUGAACGCUGGCGGUAGGCCUAAUACAUGCAAGUCGAACGGCAGCACAGUAAGAGCUUGCUCUUACGGGUGGCGAGUGGCGGACGGGUGAGGAAUACAUCGGAAUCUACUUUUUCGUGGGGGAUAACGUAGGGAAACUUACGCUAAUACCGCAUACGACCUACGGGUGAAAGCAGGGGAUCUUCGGACCUUGCGCGAUUGAAUGAGCCGAUGUCGGAUUAGCUAGUUGGCGGGGUAAAGGCCCACCAAGGCGACGAUCCGUAGCUGGUCUGAGAGGAUGAUCAGCCACACUGGAACUGAGACACGGUCCAGACUCCUACGGGAGGCAGCAGUGGGGAAUAUUGGACAAUGGGCGCAAGCCUGAUCCAGCCAUACCGCGUGGGUGAAGAGGGCCUUCGGGUUGUAAAGCCCUUUUGUUGGGAAAGAAAAGCAGCAGGUUAAUACCCCGCUGUUCUGACGGUACCCAAAGAAUAAGCACCGGCUAACUUCGUG
rnacentral:rRNA from 1 species